UACAUGUGGGGCAAGCGUUGUUCGGAAUUACUGGGCAUAAAGGGUGCGUAGGCGGGUCUUUAAGUCAGGGGUGAAAUCCUGGAGCUCAACUCCAGAACUGCCUUUGAUACUGAGGAUCUUGAGUUCGGGAGAGGUGAGUGGAACUGCGAGUGUAGAGGUGAAAUUCGUAGAUAUUCGCAAGAACACCAGUGGCGAAGGCGGCUCACUGGCCCGAUACUGACGCUGAGGCACGAAAGCGUGGGGAGCAAACAGG
rnacentral:rRNA from 1 species